GUAUAACACGCUAACCCGAACUUUCUUCAAAAUGUCGCUGCAACACAUCUUUAUUUUGAAUAUUUGCUAAAUUUGAAACAUAUUACUGCAAAUGUUAAACUUAAAGAAAAAACAACUGAAACCGUCAGAGUUGUUAACAAGGCCAAGGUCACAUGUUCCAAGGGUAUACGUUUAGGCCAACUAUUAACAAAACUGCAAGUAGCAAGUGCUGUAACAAUAAAAACACAUUGUUGUGAAAUUAGAUCAAGGUUAUGCGCAGAAGAAAAUAAGAAAAUAUAUUUGAAGAUAUAUAUGAAAUCUGAAUACAAAAUACAAAAAAAAUAAAGAUUUAAAACUUUUCAUAAUUUUUAUUUAUUUUUGUGCUUAAUGUUACUAAUAUUACCGUCUUUUAAUUAAAAAUAUGUUGAUAAUAUUUGGUAGCAAUAACUAUAAUU
rnacentral:misc_RNA from 1 species